rnacentral:rRNA from 1 species
UACGGAGGAUCCAAGCGUUAUCCGGAAUCAUUGGGUUAAAGGGUCCGUAGGCGGUUUAGUAAGUCAGUGGUGAAAGCCCAUCGCUCAACGGUGGAACGGCCAUUGAUACUGCUGAACUUGAAUUAUUAGGAAGUAACUAGAAUAUGUAGUGUAGCGGUGAAAUGCUUAGAUAUUACAUGGAAUACCAAUUGCGAAGGCAGGUUACUACUAAUGGGAUUGACGCUGAUGGACGAAAGCGUGGGGAGCGAACAGG